CUGUAAGGGAGUUUCAUGGGUGAGCCAACAAAAACCUGUUCCCCUGUUAAAUAAAUUAAAACUGAGCUAAUGAGUGACAGGAAGCCACAGAGUGAAUGGGGAAGUGUUAGGUUCCCAUGUUACAUUUACAUGCCUUGUUCACCUAGAGUGAUGGGAACCGAUAAGAUCAGAGGGAAUGCGGGUAUGCUGACUUUCGCCCCUGGCUGAAACCUGACAAGGCUCUGAGGGUAGAGUCUAAAGGGCUCUACACAGGCUAAGCAAAGGGAGCCGACGGAGUCCCUUUGCGUUGCAUUCCAAAAAUUCAGCUGCACAAAUGUAUGUACAAAUACGCCGAGAGCGAUGCAAACAAACCUCCAUUGCUCCAUUUGCUGUGUAAAUGUUAAAACUGUGUAAAUUAAGGGACGAUGGCACUUGGGAAUGAAGUGCAGCUCCUCCAUUUUCUCAUGUGAGCAAGGCCACGAAAGUGAGCUGCAAGUGAUAUAAAAGUGAUAUAAAAAAGUGCACCGUGCCUCCCCACUCACUGCCUUUUCAGACGGAGAGGGAGAUAAAUGGCUCACGUUAAACCUAAGAGAGAGAGUGUGUAAGGCAGGGAGGCGUAGGCUUUGCGCGCUAUCUUCCGCCGCUGCCAGUGCUGCGUCCUAGGAGAGCGGACAUGCUGAGUCUAAAGAGGGCUACACAGUCUUAGCAAACGGAGCCGACGGAGGUCCGUUUCCAUCGCGUUCCAAAAAUUCAGCCACACCACACACGUACGUAGAAAUAUGUAAAGAGCGACGCAAACCGACUUCCAUCUGCUCCGUUUGUGUACAGUGUAGCACCUGUGCAGCUCACUUUCAUGGCCUUGCUCACAUGGAAAAACGGAGGAGCUGCACUUUAUCCCCAAGUGCCAUCAUCCCAAAGCCAGUUUGUUGUUCCCUCCAGUGUUGCCAACUCCUCAGUAAGGAAAGUAGCUAUUGGCUGUCCUAAAAGUCCCUAGAAGUUGUUAAUUAAAUGAGCCAUCGCCGAAUUUGCAUAAUUGGCCAUGUGCAUGUAAUUGUGAUGGAUGCAGUAGGAGAGAGGAAUAACAUCAUGGGAGAGACAAAAAACCCUCCUCCACACACACAAAGGGUGUGCUGGCUCACAGAAAGAGUGGGUCAUCAUCAUUUUGGUCAAGGCUCUCUAUGGCAGGUUCAGCAACUGAAGGAGCUGACUUACAUGAGUAAGCAGCUGAUGUGCCAAAAAGCUGAAAAACAUUAUCAGGCAGCUUGUGCUCAUAGCAAGCCUCACCAGACACCUUCAGUCCAUAUCGAAUGUACAGGAUGGAGUUAAGAGUCUGCAAGGAAAUGUGUUUUCUAUAUAGCUUUUUACCACACUCAUCUGGCUGAAUACUCUCUCGACUUCAGCAUUCGAGUGUGGCAAGGACAACACAGACACAGCAUCCAUGGCAAGUUCUUGAAACAGGUUGAUAUCAGCUGCAUCCCUGAACACUCCAAAAGCCCAGUGUGUUUUUUGUCUCAUUCCAUUUACUAAGAUGGAUGGCACGUCAUUGCUGGACAAUCUUGUCUAUCUCUGCAGGGAAGUAGCCAAGGAGCUUGGCUAUUUUUCUUUUUCUCCAGGGCUCUUAUUGUGCUUCAGAGUUUCCUCCACAUUUAAAACUGACAUGUACUGCAAUGCUUCGAUGUUGUCCGGCAGUCUCACCCUCAACUCAUUACUGAGGGAGAUGGUGAAGGCUACACACUGCUUUCGGACAUUGUUUUCAUCCUCAGGCACAAGGUGGAGCUUAGCUGCCUUUGACUCAAGAAGGUAUCCAAGGUACGGUUUGGGACUGAUGUAUCCAUCUAUUGGCCCUUUGAUUACAUCAACAUUUGCCAGUGGAUUCAGCAUCCUGCUGCUCACAGACUUGAUCAGGCUAACCAAGCUGUCAAGUAGCUUAAGAGGAUCUACUUGCUCUCCCUCAAAAGCCUUGAUGGCCAACUGUACCUCACCCAGCACUGACUUUAAAAAAUCAGAUACAAUAUGUUUUGAGGAUCACUGUACAUGGAGUAUAAAACCACAGCCAUGUAGCAGUGUUCACUGGACUUGGUGACUGCGAAAUGCAGCCUAAGCUCCUCCCACUGGUCCAAAAUGCGUGAAACCGCAGGUUCAAUGGAGAGCCAACGUGUGGCACACACCUUGGUUACCUGUAAAGGUUUCUCCACACAGUUUAUGGUCUCAUAUAUGGCCUUUUGUAGGCCUCCCUGCGCUUUGGAGACACUGAACCAGUUAUAAGUCUCUCGUACCAAGUACUCCACACUACGGGGAUGGUGUCAUUGGAAGCAUGACUUACAGCAAGCUGCAGAGUGGCACACACAGCGAAUAAGAACCAGAUAUUUGAGACCAUACUCCUCCUCCAGCACUUUAUGGACCCCAUUGUUAAUCCCCGUCAAAACUGAGGCAUUGUCAGUCCCUAUCCCAAGGAGUUUCUCUUUUUUAUUAAGACAACACUUCGAGGAAAGCCACAACAGCACAGGCUAUAGAUUUGGUAUCUGUUCCACAUGCCAGCAUGGAACAGUGUUCAGCGAUAGCUAAUGCCAUGGUGGCCUCAGCCUUUUUUGCAGAGCCAAUUUUUUUAAACCAUAAAUGCAGCUUGUUUUGGGUGGAACUGUUAUAAGACUUUGCCUUUUGAGUAUGUUUUUGAGUUUUCAUGUGUUUUUUUACAUCACUAAGUUUGGUGUAGAAAUCAGCCUUACAAUACAGGCACUAUGCCCAAGUAUCAUCUCCAAUAAAUGGCUUCAACCA